GUGCUUGCUUUGUCAGUACAUGUAUUAAUAUUAGGAUGAUACAGGAAAGAUUAGCAUAAAUCUUUCACAAGGACGAGACACAAAUAAAUGAAGUGUUCCAUAGUGUG
ensembl:snRNA Gm24131 U6 spliceosomal RNA